UACGAAGGGGGCUAGCGUUGCUCGGAAUCACUGGGCGUAAAGCGCACGUAGGCGGCUUUCUAAGUCUUGUGUGAAAUCCCUCGGCUCAACUGAGGAACUGCACGGGAUACUGGAAGACUUGAGUUCGGGAGAGGGAAGCGGAAUUCCGGGUGUAGCGGUGAAAUGCGUAGAUAUCCGGAGGAACACCGGUGGCGAAGGCGGCUUCCUGGACCGAUUACUGACGCUGGGGCGCGAAAGCUAGGGGAGCAAACGGG
rnacentral:rRNA from 1 species